rnacentral:rRNA from 1 species
GACGAACGCUGGCGGCGUGCUUAACACAUGCAAGUCGAACGGAAAGGCCCUGCUUUUGUGGGGUGCUCGAGUGGCGAACGGGUGAGUAACACGUGAGUAACCUGCCCUUGACUUUGGGAUAACUUCAGGAAACUGGGGCUAAUACCGGAUAGGAGCUCCUGCUGCAUGGUGGGGGUUGGAAAGUUUCGGCUGUUGGGGAUGGACUCGCGGCUUAUCAGCUUGUUGGUGGGGUAGUGGCUUACCAAGGCUUUGACGGGUAGCCGGCCUGAGAGGGUGACCGGCCACAUUGGGACUGAGGUACGGACCAGACUCCUACGGGAGGCAGCAGUGGGGAAUAUUGCACAAUGGGCGGAAGCCUGAUGCAGCAACGCCGCGUGCGGGAUGACGGCCUUCGGGUUGUAAACCGCUUUCGCCUGUGACGAAGCGUGAGUGACGGUAAUGGGUAAAGAAGCACCGGCUAACUACGUG